rnacentral:rRNA from 1 species
AGUGAACGCUGGCGGUAGGCCUAACACAUGCAAGUCGAACGGCAGCACAGUAAGAGCUUGCUCUUACGGGUGGCGAGUGGCGGACGGGUGAGGAAUACAUCGGAAUCUACUUUUUCGUGGGGGAUAACGUAGGGAAACUUACGCUAAUACCGCAUACGACCUACGGGUGAAAGCAGGGGAUCUUCGGACCUUGCGCGAUUGAAUGAGCCGAUGUCGGAUUAGCUAGUUGGCGGGGUAAAGGCCCACCAAGGCGACGAUCCGUAGCUGGUCUGAGAGGAUGAUCAGCCACACUGGAACUGAGACACGGUCACGACUCCUACGGGAGGCAGGAGGGGGGAAUAUUGGACAAGGGGCGCAAGCCUGACCCGACCAUACCGCGUGGGUGAAGAAGGCCUUCGGGUUGUAAACCCCUUUUGUUGGGAAAAAAAAGCAGCAGGUUAAUCCCCCGCUGUUCUGACGGUACCCAAAAAAUAAGCCCCGGCUAACUUCGU